GGAUGCUGUUGUUGUUGAUGAUGAUGAUGUUGAUGAUGAUGAUGUUGAUGAUGAUGAUGAUCAUCAUCAUCAUCGUCGUCGUCAUUGUCAAAUGAA
rnacentral:pre_miRNA from 1 species